rnacentral:rRNA from 1 species
CUGUCGUCAGCUCGUGUUGUGAAAUGUUGGGUUAAGUCCCGCAACGAGCGCAACCCUUAUCCUUUGUUGCCAGCGAUUAGGUCGGGAACUCAAAGGAGACUGCCAGUGAUAAACUGGAGGAAGGUGGGGAUGACGUCAAGUCAUCAUGGCCCUUACGACCAGGGCUACACACGUGCUACAAUGGCGCAUACAAAGAGAAGCGACCUCGCGAGAGCAAGCGGACCUCAUAAAGUGCGUCGUAGUCCGGAUUGGAGUCUGCAACUCGACUCCAUGAAGUCGGAAUCGCUAGUAAUCGUGGAUCAGAAUGCCACGGUGAAUACGUUCCCGGGCCUUGUACACACCGCCCGUCACACCAUGGGAGUGGGUUGCAAAAGAAGUAGGUAGCUUAACCUUCGGGAGGGCGCUUACCACUUUGUGAUUCAUGACUGGGGUGAAGUCGUAACAAGGUAACCGUAGGGGAACCUGCGGUUGGA